rnacentral:rRNA from 1 species
ACGCUGGCGGCAUGCUUAACACGUGCAAGUCGAACGCUAUCGCAAGAUAGAGUGGCGCACGGGUGAGUAACGCGUGGGAAUCUGCCCUUUUGUCUGGGACAACAGCUGGAAACGGCUGCUAAUACCGGAUACGCCCCUCGGGGGAAAGGUCCGCCGCAGAAGGAGGAGCCCGCGUCUGAUUAGCUUGUUGGUAGGGUAAUGGCCUACCAAGGCAACGAUCAGUAGCUGGUCUGAGAGGAUGAUCGGCCACACUGGGACUGAGACACGGCCCAGACUCCUACGGGAGGCAGCAGUGGGGAAUAUUGGACAAUGGGGGCAACCCUGAUCCAGCAAUGCCGCGUGUGUGAUGAAGGCCUCUAGGUUGUAAAGCACUUUCACUGGUGAAGAUGAUGACGGUA